rnacentral:rRNA from 1 species
GCUGGCGGUAUGCUUAACACAUGCAAGUCGAACGGAAACGAUAGAAGCUUGCUUCUAGGCGUCGAGUGGCGGACGGGUGCGUAACGCGUGGGAAUUUACCUUUUAGUGGGGGAUAGCCCGGUGAAAACCGGAUUAAUACCGCAUACUACUCUACGGAGGAAAAGGGGCCUCUCCUUGGAAGCUCUUGCUAUUAGAUGAGCCCGCGUAAGAUUAGCUAGUUGGUUGAGGUAAUGGCUCACCAAGGCAACGAUCUUUAGCUGGUUUGAGAGGAUGAUCAGCCACACUGGGACUGAGACACGGCCCAGACUCCUACGGGAGGCAGCAGUGGGGAAUAUUGGACAAUGGGCGCAAGCCUGAUCCAGCAAUACCGCGUGUGUGAAGAAGGCCUGAGGGUUGUAAAGCACUUUCAAUAGGGACUAAAUGUUCGUAGUUAAUAACUGCGGAUCUUGAAUUAACCUAUAGAAGAAGGACCGGCUAACUCCGUGCCAGCAGCCGCGGUAAUACGGAGGGUCCGAGCGUUAAUCGGAAUUACUGGGCGUAAAGCGCGCGUAGGCGGUUUAUUAAGUCGGAUGUGAAAGCCCUGGGCUCAACCUGGGAACUGCAUUCGAUACUGGUAAACUAGAGUAUAGUAGAGGUAAGUGGAAUUCCAUGUGUAGCGGUGAAAUGCGUAGAUAUGUGGAGGAACAUCAGUGGCGAAGGCGACUUACUGGACUAAUACUGACGCUGAGGUGCGAAAGCGUGGGGAGCAAACGGGAUUAGAUACCCCGGUAGUCCACGCCGUAAACGAUGUCAACUAGCCGUUGGGAGCAUUUGAGCUUUUAGUGGCGCAGCUAACGCAUUAAGUUGACCGCCUGGGGAGUACGCACGCAA